rnacentral:rRNA from 1 species
GACGUAGGGCGCGAGCGUUGUCCGGAUUUAUUGGGCGUAAAGAGCUCGUAGGCGGCUUGUUACGUCGUUCGUGAAAACUUGGGGCUCAACCCCAAGCUUGCGGUCGAUACGGGCAGGCUAGAGUUCGGUAGGGGAGACUGGAAUUCCUGGUGUAGCGGUGAAAUGCGCAGAUAUCAGGAGGAACACCGAUGGCGAAGGCAGGUCUCUGGGCCACUACUGACGCUGAGAAGCGAAAGCAUGGGGAGCGAACAGG